AUUUCUUACAUCUUUAGGCCCAGAUUUUAAUCGUCCAGGCUCAAUAUUAGGCCCAUAACGUUCGGUUUGUAGUUGUACAAUCGCAAAAAACGUAGGUAGUCCCGCUAGUUCAGCUACUGUUACUUCCACUAACUAUCCUUCGUCUCUACAGAGCAUCAAAGACUUCCAUGUCUUUACAAUUCAGUCCUCACGACACCUCUGUAAUUACCCUUUUGCCCUCUGUCCUCCAUAACUAUCCUUGUCUCUCUUCCCUCUCUAUUUCUCGCGGCUUCACCAAAAUCAAUACCCCAAGCGUUCGGAUGAUGAUCAUUUUCUCUUUUUAUUACUAUCAUACACGGCCGCUAGUCC